UUAUUUCCUACUGUUUCCUUGAUUUCUUAUUGUAUCACCAUCUAGCCCUGGUUGGGUGGAAGAAAGAGGAAAAAGUAGAGAGAAA
rnacentral:pre_miRNA from 1 species